UGGGGAAUAUUGGACAAUGGGCGCAAGCCUGAUCCAGCAAUGCCGCGUGAGUGAUGAAGGCCUUCGGGUUGUAAAGCUCUUUCGCACGCGACGAUGAUGACGGUAGCGUGAGAAGAAGCCCCGGCUAACUUCGUG
rnacentral:rRNA from 1 species